UGUAUAUACAGAAGAUCUGGAUUUAGAUUUCAUUGCCCCAACGGAUUCGAAGAAAGAGGAAGUACAGUUUCGUGGCCGAUGAAAUUAACGUCUUCGAAUGCAAGUUGCGUCUGAAGUCAUUAGGCUGAGGGCACGUCUGCUUGGACCUUAUUUGCAAGUUGUGUCUGAAGUCAUUAGGCUGAGGGCACGUCUGCGUGGACAUUAAAAUAACGUUAUAAUGUACACAAACAGGAAAUAUAUGCAGGGGCAUGUAUAUUCUUUUAGGUACUGGGCUUAUAGUUUGUUUUAUUUUAUGAUACGUUUCCAGAUUUGGAUGUAUUUUGUAAUUCUUACAUUUCUGUGUAGCAAGUUAUAGAAGAUAUAUAGAAGUUACUUUUAAAAUAUUUUUAAAA